GGCAGGCCUAACACAUGCAAGUCGAACGGUAACAGGAAGAAGCUUGCUUCUUUGCUGACGAGUGGCGGACGGGUGAGUAAUGUCUGGGAAACUGCCUGAUGGAGGGGGAUAACUACUGGAAACGGUAGCUAAUACCGCAUAACGUCGCAAGACCAAAGAGGGGGACCUUCGGGCCUCUUGCCAUCGGAUGUGCCCAGAUGGGAUUAGCUUGUUGGUGGGGUAACGGCUCACCAAGGCGACGAUCCCUAGCUGGUCUGAGAGGAUGACCAGCCACACUGGAACUGAGACACGGUCCAGACUCCUACGGGAGGCAGCAGUGGGGAAUAUUGCACAAUGGGCGCAAGCCUGAUGCAGCCAUGCCGCGUGUAUGAAGAAGGCCUUCGGGUUGUAAAGUACUUUCAGCGGGGAGGAAGGGAGUAAAGUUAAUACCUUUGCUCAUUGACGUUACCCGCAGAAGAAGCACCGGCUAACUCCGUGCCAGCAGCCGCGGUAAUACGGAGGGUGCAAGCGUUAAUCGGAAUUACUGGGCGUAAAGCGCACGCAGGCGGUUUGUUAAGUCAGAUGUGAAAUCCCCGGGCUCAACCUGGGAACUGCAUCUGAUACUGGCAAGCUUGAGUCUCGUAGAGGGGGGUAGAAUUCCAGGUGUAGCGGUGAAAUGCGUAGAGAUCUGGAGGAAUACCGGUGGCGAAGGCGGCCCCCUGGACGAAGACUGACGCUCAGGUGCGAAAGCGUGGGGAGCAAACAGGAUUAGAUACCCUGGUAGUCCACGCCGUAAACGAUGUCGACUUGGAGGUUGUGCCCUUGAGGCGUGGCUUCCGGAGCUAACGCGUUAAGUCGACCGCCUGGGGAGUACGGCCGCAAGGUUAAAACUCAAAUGAAUUGACAGGGGCCCGCACAAGCGGUGGAGCAUGUGGUUUAAUUCGAUGCAACGCGAAGAACCUUACCUGGUCUUGACAUCCACGGAAGUUUUCAGAGAUGAGAAUGUGCCUUCGGGAACCGUGAGACAGGUGCUGCAUGGCUGUCGUCAGCUCGUGUUGUGAAAUGUUGGGUUAAGUCCCGCAACGAGCGCAACCCUUAUCCUUUGUUGCCAGCGGUCCGGCCGGGAACUCAAAGGAGACUGUCAGUGAUAAACUGGAGGAAGGUGGGGAUGACGUCAAGUCAUCAUGGCCCUUACGACCAGUGCUACACACGUGCUACAAUGGCGCAUACAAAGAGAAGCGACCUCGCGAGAGCAAGCGGACCUCAUAAAGUGCGUCGUAGUCCGGAUUGGAGUCUGCAACUCGACUCCAUGAAGUCGGAAUCGCUAGUAAUCGUGGAUCAGAAUGCCACGGUGAAUACGUUCCCGGGCCUUGUACACACCGCCCGUCACACCAUGGGAGUGGGUUGCAAAAGAAGUAGGUAGCUUAACCUUCGGGAGGGCGCCUACCACUUUGUGAUUCAUGACUGGGGUGAAGUCGU
rnacentral:rRNA from 1 species